UACAGGGGGGGCAAGCGUUGUUCGGAAUUACUGGGCGUAAAGGGGUUGUAGGUGGCCACUUAAGUCAGACGUGAAAUCCCUCAGCUUAACUGGGGAACUGCGUCUGAUACUGCGUGGCUUGAGUGCAGGAGAGGAACGCGGAAUUCCAGGUGUAGCGGUGAAAUGCGUAGAUAUCUGGAGGAACACCGGUGGCGAAGGCGGCGUUCUGGACUGUAACUGACACUGAAAAACGAAAGCCAGGGGAGCAAACGGG
rnacentral:rRNA from 1 species